rnacentral:lncRNA from 1 species
UGCCUGGGUUUGAAUUUUGUUCUGUCCCUUGCACCCUGCCUGGGUUCAAAUCCUAGCUCUGCUUAGUAAGUUCUUUUAAGGGGGUGAUCUUCGAGCAAAUGUCUUAGCUCCUGUUUUCCCAAGUAAAUGGACAGAGUAGUUGCUACCUUGUGAAAGAUUCACGUAAUUGACCAGCAUUUACCAAGGAGCAUCAGUGUUUAGUUUUAGUCAUUGGUGAUUGUGUAGUUGGACUGUGAGGCGGUGCUGGGGUAGGGGGUGGUGUGUGUGUGUGUGUAGCACUUAAUUGCAUGCGGAAAGGAAAAGAUACUUUUGAUGACCGAGAGGCAGCUUUUCUCUGCUUUUGUAUCAAAAGGGAAGAAGGGAGUUUGGAGAGGGAAAGGAAUUCUGUUCAAUACUAAGCUCUCUUCCUCAAAAUCAGAGGUACAUAGAAUGUGUAAUAAUUUACAGAAUUUCUAGACUUGAGCAAUCUGAUUUUUAAAAUUUUUUUUUAUUUUUUCAGGUCGAGGCUGAGCUGGAGUUAAUCUGGCGACAUGCUGGAGGUACUAGACAAACACCUCAUUCCAGCAGCUACCACUGCCCCCAUUCACUGGGGAGAAUGGAAAGAAAACAACUGACAACAUCCUCAAAUGUAAACUCAAUUUGCCUCCCUACCUCACACAAGAAGCCAGAGAUCUGCUUAAAAAGGCUCAUCCAUUCUUUAGACACAUUAACUGGGAAGAACUUCUGGCUGGAAAGGUGGAGCCCCUCCUUUAAACCUCUGUUGGUAAGUAUACAUGAAAGCAUAUAAUUGGGUGCAAGGGCUCAUACCUGUAAUCCCAAAACUUUAAAGGGCUGAGGUGGGAGGAUUGUUUGAAGCCAGGAGUUCAAGACCAGCAUGGGCAACAUAACAAGACUUCAUCUCUACAAAACAUUUAAAAGUUAGCUGGGCCGGGCGCGGUGGCUAAAGCCUGUAAUCCCAGCACUUUGGGAGGCCAAGGCGGGCGGAUCACGAGGUCAGGAGAUCAAGACCGUCCUGGCAAACACUGUGAAACCCAGUCUGUAUUAAAAAUACAAAAAAUUAGCCGAGCGUGGUGGCGGGCGCCUGUAGUCCCAGCUACUCGGGAGACUGAGGCAGGAGAAUGGCGCGAACCCGCGAGGCGGAGCUUGCAGUGAGCGGAGAUCACGCCACUGCACUCCAGCCUGGGCGACAAAGCGAGACUCCGUCUCAAAAAAAAAAAAGUUAGCUGGGUGUGGUGGCAUGUGCCUGUGAGUCCCAGCUACUUGAGAGGCUGAGGCAGGUGGAUCGCUUGAGACUUUUUUGGAAUAAGAAAAAUCGCAGCCGGGCGCGGUGGCUCACGCCUGUAAUCCCGGCACUUUGGGAGGCCCAGGCGGGCGGAUCACGAGGUCAGGAGAUUGAGACCAUCCUGGCUAACACGGUGAAACCCCGAAUCUACUAAAAAUACAAAAAAUUAGCCGGGUAUGUUGGCGGGCGUCUGUAGUCCCAGCUACUCAGGAGACU